UGAGGAGGCAAUGGAGAAUGAUGAGGACUAUUUGCAGUCAGCACGCCAACUUCUGCCUUGGCUCUUCCCAUCAAGCCAGAGCAGUUUCUUGGCCUGCGCAACCUGCAGACUGACCUCUCGUGUGUAUCCGUGCUGGACUGAGGGUAAUGUUUGGAACACACACUGAUGCUGUAUUCACUAGAACUUUGAGAAGAGAGAGCAAGAAGCUAACCUGCAGACGAGUUUCUUAGGUUUCUGUAGAGAGAGGGAGAUAUACAUGCAUACAUAUUUACUUCUGUCUUUACUUCUUUCAAGAUAGCUUUUGUUCUCCAAAAUGAAUCCUCUGACUGUUACUAAUGUAUGGGACACACCUUGACACUCUAAUGGCAUAGAAAUACUUUUCAGCUCAUCCUUGCUAUUGUUUCUGGAUUGAAAAAAUAAUUGUGAAUAUGAUUACCUGCUUGGAAUCUUUUUUUUUUCUUUUUAAUAUAUACCUAUUCUAUUAUGAAAUCCUAUAAAAAGGAGUGAACUCAAGAGGAAAAAAAAAAAAAAAGAAAACAAUUUUAAUUCCACUUCUAAGGAGGACAGUACUUUGAUGCUUUCCAGGGCUAAUGGCCAAAGUUCUCAAAGCACGUUUUUUUUUUUUUUUUUUUU